rnacentral:rRNA from 1 species
CCUACGGGUGACAGCAGUAGGGAAUUUUGCGCAAUGGGCGAAAGCCUGACGCAGCAACGCCGCGUGAUUGAUUAAGCCCUUCGGGGUGGAAAGAUCUGUCAGUGGGGACGAAACUUGACGGUACCCACAGAGGAAGCACCGGCCAACUCCGUGCCAGUAGCCGCGGUAAUAAGGAGGGUGCACGCGUUGUCCGGAAUUAUUGGGCGUAAAGAGUUCGUUGGUGGGUUAUUAAGUCUGGUGUUAAAUGCUGAGGCUCAACUUCUGUUCCGCAGUGGAAACUGGUAAGCUUGAGUGCGGUAGAGGUAUGGGGAAUGCCUGGUGUAGCGGUGAAAUGCAUAGAUAUCAGGCAGAACAUCGGUGGCGUAGGCGCUUUGCUGGGCCGUAAUUGACGCUGAGGAACGAAAGCCGGGGUAGCAAAUGGGAUUAGAUACCCGUGUAGUC